rnacentral:rRNA from 1 species
GACAGAGGGUGCAACCGUUGUUCGGAAUUACUGGGCGUAAAGCGUGCGCAGGCGGUUCGUUAAGUCAGCUGUGAAAGCCCCGGGCUCAACCUGGGAAUUGCGGUUGAAACUGGCGAACUAGAAUCUGGCAGAGGGGGGUGGAAUUCCACGUGUAGCAGUGAAAUGCGUAGAGAUGUGGAGGAACACCGAUGGCGAAGGCAGCCCCCUGGGCUGAGAUUGACGCUCAGGCACGAAAGCGUGGGGAGCAAACAGG